GACGAACGCUGGCGGCGUGCUUAACACAUGCAAGUCGAACGGAAAGGCCCUGCUUUUGUGGGGUGCUCGAGUGGCGACCGGGUGAGUAACACGUGGGUAACCUGCCCUUGCCUUUGGGAUAACUUAAGGACACUGGGGCUCAUCCCGGAUAGGAGCUCCUGCUGCAUGGUGGGGGUUGGUAAGUUUCGGCGGUUGGGGAUGGACUCGCGGCUUAUCAGCUUGUUGGUGGGGUAGUGGCUUACCAAGGCUUUGACGGGUGGCCGGCCUGAGAGGGGGAGAGGCCAAAUUGGGAUGGAGAUACGACCCGGACUAGAACGGGAGGCGAGGGAGGAGAAUAGUGUACAAGGGGAGGAAGCCUGGUGCAGCAACGCCGCGUGGGGGAUGACAUGCUUCGGGUUGUAAACCAAUUUCGCCUGAGACGAAGCGUGAGUGACAGUAAUGGGAAAAGAAGCACCGGCUAACUACGUG
rnacentral:rRNA from 1 species